GUUCUUGGCUUUCAGUCUAUCUCCUGCCACCCUGUAAAGUGGUGGCUUCUGCCAUGAUUUUAAGUUUCCUGAGGCCUCUCCAACUAUGCAGAACUCAGGAGUUCCUGGUGCCAGGCUUACAUUAUUCCAUGAAAACAACUCACAGAAACAGAAAACUGCCUCUCAAAACGCACAUAUGUAUAACCCCAAGAAAGACUCACUGGCUGCAUCAAUGUGGUCAUAGAUUUGGAUGCUUUGAUCAGCCAACACUUGCAGCAACACAUGGUAAGUGGGGUGGGCAUCUGCCAAAAGGAAAGGGUGUUGUUCCCAUAUGAAGGAAGAAGGGCUGCUGAAUAAAAUAAAGGGAC
rnacentral:lncRNA from 13 species